GUUUACACUUGGGUCCUGUGCCCAAGAAACCUUAUUAUGUAUAUGCAAAUAUCCUAAAAUCAGAAAUCUAAAACACUUUUGGGCCCAAGAAUUUUGGAUAAGCGAUACUCAGCCUGUAUAAGAAUUUGUACUUCUGUACUGGCAGACACAAGUCCUUUCUCUGCUUCUCUAGGAUAGGCUGCAUGUCCCUCCAGGAAUCUCAUUUGUAAGUUUUAAGUAACAAAUGGAAUGAAAAUGUUGUCAUAGACACUGUGAUGUGCUGCUCUCUAAGGACUGCUUUGGCAGAAGAGUCUCUUUGCCCUUUCACUCUCCCUUCCCAAGGGCAGCUGACACCAUGACUGGUCAAUGUAGUGGUAUACUUAGCCCCUGUAUCCCAACAAGGGGCAACUCUGAAGGGUCACCCCAGCUUGAGAACUCUGAAAAUCAAAGGCUGGUGUCUCAGGUUGUGGCCCAUUUAUGGUCUUGAAAUCAACUGAAUGUGUUAUGACCAGCGAGACAAAACGAAACAGAAUGGAACAGGGGGAAAUGUAGCAGCAUGUCAUAUUAGGUGACUGGAGUCAGGGAGAGAGCCUGUGCCUGUGCGAGGAAUGGUACAUAACCUCCGUGCUCCUUGGAAAAUCAGCAGCAGCAUUUUCAUAUCUGAAGAAUCUCUAUGCCAACUAUGUCAACCUUUUCAGAUGUGCAAAUUGCACCUAGUAGGUACAAGGGCUAGCAGAUGGCUCUAAUUUCAGAGUGCCCUUGACUACUAAAAAGAAGGCACUGAUGAGAAUUUGUCUCAGGCCAGUAUUUGGUUCUGCUACAUAUAGAAGGGAUUAGCCCUUCACUCGGAGGAUCACCAGCACAUACUCUCUGUGUGGCCCAGUCCAACUUCUGUCCUGUGGGCUGCUGCCCUGUUCUACCACCUAGUGCCCAGGCAAAACCCACAUUUUAAAAUGCAAAGGAAUAACCACUGCAUGGUAAACUUAGUGGGAAGGAAUCAUACAUACUACAGGAUCAGAUGUGCAUCCACAGGAGCAAUUUUCUGAAUUGACCAAGAAGAUGGAGGAGAGCUUAAUUGUAUGACUCGUGGAGCCUUUAAAAUUUUGCGGCAACAAUGUUACUGUUGCUUAUUAUUAUAAAAACAACCUCGACUUUAUGAUCAGUUUUAUGAUUUUUCUAUCUUCAGCUCCACCUUCCAGGAAGAAGAUCAGCAAGCAAAAUGAACAAAAUUUAUAUUUUGGCUGCAUUCAUGCAGAGACUUUUUUUGGAUAAGCACUCUCUCUACCAACAAGUAACUAACAUUUAACUGCCUAAAUCACAUCUUAGUUUUUGAAUACCAAAGAAAUGCAAAAAAGAAGCCAGCUGUA
rnacentral:lncRNA from 1 species